GGAUGUGAGGGUGAUCUGGCUGUUACAUCUGUCACCCCAUUGAUCGCCAGGGUUGAUUCAGCUGAUCUGGCUGGCUAGGCAGGUGUCCCCUUCCUCCCUCAAUGCUCCACGUGCGUUCCUCCUGAAGCUGCUAGCUAGGUCGAAGAGGAUGACUUUCCCCCAUAGAGGAGGACCGGUCUUCAGUCAAGGUAGCUGCGCUCCCCUGCUAGAACCUCCAAACAAGCUCUCAAGGCCUGUAUGUAUCUUAUGUACACCCAUGUCAUGCAAUGCCUGUAGUGGUCAGAAGAGGGUAUCAAAUCCCCUGGAACUGGAGUUACAGACAGUUGUUUGCUGCCAUAUCGGUGCUGGGAUCCUAAU
rnacentral:snRNA from 1 species